UCCUACGGGAGGCAGCAGUGGGGAAUAUUGCACAAUGGGCGAAAGCCUGAUGCAGCAACGCCGCGUGAGUGAUGACGGCCUUCGGGUUGUAAAGCUCUGUCUUUGGGGACGAUAAUGACGGUACCCAAGGAGGAAGCCACGGCUAACUACGUGCCAGCAGCCGCGGUAAU
rnacentral:rRNA from 1 species